UACGGAGGGGGCUAGCGUUGUUCGGAAUUACUGGGCGUAAAGCGCGCGUAGGCGGCUUUGUAAAGUUAGAGGUGAAAAGCCCCGGAGCUCAACUCCGGAAUUGCCUUUAAGACUGCAUCGCUAGAAUCAUGGAGAGGUGAGUGGAAAUUCCGAGUGUAGAGGUGAAAAUUCGUAGAUAUUCGGAAAGAACACCAGUGGCGAAGGCGACUCACUGGACAUGUAUUGACGCUGAGGUGCGAAAAGCGUGGGGAGCAAACAGG
rnacentral:rRNA from 1 species